rnacentral:rRNA from 1 species
CGAAGCAACGCGAAGAACCUUACCAGGUCUUGACAUCCCCUGACAACCCAAGAGAUUGGGCGUUCCCCCUUCGGGGGACAGGGUGACAGGUGGUGCAUGGUUGUCGUCAGCUCGUGUCGUGAGAUGUUGGGUUAAGUCCCCGCAACGAGCGCAACCCUCGCCUCUAGUUGCCAGCAUUCGGUUGGGCACUCUAGAGGGACUGCCGGCGACAAGUCGGAGGAAGGUGGGGAUGACGUCAAAUCAUCAUGCCCCUUAUGACCUGGGCUACACACGUGCUACAAUGGGCGGUACAAAGGGCUGCGAACCCGCGAGGGGGAGCGAAUCCCAAAAAACCUGUCUCAGUCCGGAUUGAAGUCUGCAACUCGACUUCAUGAAGGCGGAAUCGCUAGUAACCGCGAAUCAGCAGGUCCGCGGUCCGAAUACGUUCCGGCCUU